UUUGCCACGAAUCCUCCUGGAGGUUCCUCCCAAAGCUCGGUGGAACUCGUGUCAGGACUGGGGGAAUUUUGCUGUGAAUCCUCCUGGAGGUUCCUCUCAAAGCUCGGUGGAACUCGUGUCAGGACUGGGGGAAUUUUGCCGUGAAUCCUCCUGGAGGUUCCUGCCCAAAGCUUGGUGGAACUCGUGCCAGGACUGAGGGAAUUUUGCUGUGAAUCCUCCUGGAGAUUCCUGCCCAAAGCUCGGUGGAACUCGUGUCAGGAUUGGGGGAAUUUUGCCAUGAAUCCUCCUCGAGAUUCCUCCCAAAAGCUCGGUGGAACUCGUGUCAGGACUGAGGGAAUUUUACCAUGAAUCCUCCUGGAGGUUCCUCUCAAAGCUCGGUGGAACUCAUUCAGGACUGAGGGAAUUUUGCUGUGAAUCCUCCUGGAGGUUCCUCCCAAAAGCUCGGCAGAACUCGUGUCAGGACUGAGGGAAUUUUGCCAUGAAUCCUCCUGGAGGUUCCUCCCAAAGCUUGAUGGAACUCGUGUCAGGACUGAGGGAAUUUUGCUGUGAAUCCUCCUGGAGGUUCCUGCCCAAAGCUCGGUGGAACUCGUGUCAGGACUGAGGGAAUUUUACCAUGAAUCCUCCUGGAGGUUCCUGCCCAAAGCUCGGUGGAACUCAUUCAGGACUGAGGGAAUUUUGCUGUGAAUCCUCCUGGAGGUUCCUGCC